AUUGAACGCUGGCGGCAGGCCUAACACAUGCAAGUCGAGCGAGCGGCGGACGGGUGAGUAAUGUAUGGGGACUGCCCGAUAGAGGGGGAUAACUACUGGAAACGGUGGCUAAUACCGCAUACUAUCGGCUCACCCAUGUGGGAUUAGCUAGUAGGUGGGGUUAAGGCUCACCUAGGCGCCGAUAUCUAGCUGGUCUGAGAGGAUGAUUGGCCACACGGAGACUGAGACACGGCCCAGACGCCUACGGAGGCAGCAGUGGGGAAUAUUGCACAAUGGGCGCAAGCCGGAUGCAGCCAUGCCGCGUGUAUGAAGAAGGCCUUAGGGUUGUAAAGUCCUUUCAGCGGGGAGGCGUUACCCGCAGAAGAAGCACCGGCUAACUCCGUGCCAGCCGCCGCGGUAAUAC
rnacentral:rRNA from 1 species